AUGAAAUUUGGAACUUGUAAUGCUAUACGCUAGGCAAUUAUUUGAUUUCAAAGAGAAAGUUUGAUUUUCUCAAGAGCAUAAAUGGAUCAAGCAUUGUUUUGUUUUAGCUUUAUGCAAUUUAUGCAUCCUUCCUGAGACUUUAUUUUCAUUUACUUCCUUCAUUACAGAGUUCACAGGAUCAAGGAGACACGGUUGAUUUUUCAGGACCCUUAAUAUCUCAAAUGCACACCUGUCCAUGAGAUCUUAGAAAGACAUGAGCGACACAUACGGCGUACUGUCUGGCGAUUGUGGUUUCAGAAAGGUAAGAAGAAUAGGAAGUAAAGAAACUGCAUUGAUAUUCAUGCAUGAAGAAUAUAAAAUCCUCAAGCGCUA